AUACGUAGGUGACAAGCGUUAUCCGGAUUUAUUGGGUUUAAAGGGUGCGUAGGCGGUUCGCUAAGCGGGAGGUGAAAUGCCGGCGCUCAACGUCGGAAGUGCCUCCCGAACUGGUGGACUUGAAUGACUCUGCCGUGGGGGGAAUGUGUAGUGUAGCGGUGAAAUGCGUAGAUAUGCCACAGAACGCCGAUAGCGGAGGCAGCUCGCCAGGCCUGCAUUGACGCUCGGGCACGAAAGCGUGGGGAUCGAACAGGAUUAGAUACCCGGGUAGUCCACGCCGUAAACGAUGGGCGCUCGUCGUCGGCGGCAGACAGUCGGCGGCCAAGCGAAAGCGAUAAGCGCCCCACCUGGGGAGUACGGUCGCAAGGCUGAAACUCAAAGGAAUUGGCGGGG
rnacentral:rRNA from 1 species